rnacentral:rRNA from 1 species
AUUGAACGCUGGCGGCAGGCCUAACACAUGCAAGUCGAACGAGUGGCGGACGGGUGAGUAAUGUCUGGGAAACUGCCCGAUGGAGGGGGAUAACUACUGGAAACGGUAGCUAAUACCGCAUACCAUCGGAUGUGCCCAAGUGGGAUUAGCUAGUAGGUGGGGUAACGGCUCACCUAGGCGACGAUCCCUAGCGGGUCUGAGAGGAUGACCAGCCACACUGGGACUGAGACACGGCCCAGACUCCUACGGGAGGCAGCAGUGGGGAAUAUUGCACAAUGGGCGCAAGCCUGAUCGAGCCAUGCCGCGGGAAUGAAGAAGGUUUUCGGGUGGUAAAGCACUUUUGGUGGGGAAGCGUUACCCAAAGAGAAAGCACCGGCUAACUCCGUGCCAGCAGCCGCGGUAAUUC